AGCUAAUACUUGCUUUAGCACUCUUGAUUUAUUUCUUGAGUGUGUACUUGUCAAGCCUUAUAAGAAAAGAGUUAUUAACUUAAGGAAUUAUAACAAAGAAGUAACACGUAAUGGAUCAGUCCAUUUUUAGUGUGUAUCAAUCGAGUUUCUGACCUAUCAGCUUUUGAUGUUAGGGUAUUGGCCUAACAUGGCUAUGACGGGUAACGGGGAAUUAGAGUUCGAUUCCGGAGAGGGAGCCUGAGAAAUAGCUACCACAUCUAAGGAAGGCAGCAGGCGCGUAAAUUACCCAAUUCUAAAGAAGAGAGGUAGUGACAAGAAAUAACAAUACAAGGCCAAUCUGGCUUUGUAAUUGGAAUGAUGGGAAUUUAAAACCUUCCCAAAAUUCAAUUGGAGGGCAAGUCUGGUGCCAGCAGCCGCGGUAAUUCCAGCUCCAAUAGCGUAUAUUAAAAUUGUUGCAGUUAAAACGCUCGUAAUUGAAUUUCAAAGAAUCGAUAUUUUAAGUAACGCUUUUAGCUUAAUCCACAUAACUGAUACUACGUAUCGACUUUGUGCGCAUUUUGCUAUUAUGUGUUCUUUUAAUUAAAAUGAUUCUUUUUAAGAUUCAUCUAUUAAAAAUUUGCUUCGGCAUAAUUUUUUUUGAUGAUCUUGUUACUUUGAGUAAAUUAGAGUGUUCAAAGCAAACAGGUAUAGCAUUUGUGCGUUUGAAUACUACAGCAUGGAAUAACAAAAUUGAACAAGUCAGAAUUUUUUUGUUCUUUUUUCUUAUUUUGGCUUAGUUACGAUUAAUAGGAGUAGCUUGGGGGCAUUUGUAUUCAGAUGUCAGAGGUGAAAUUCUUAGAUUUUCUGGAGACAAACAACUGCGAAAGCAUUUGCCUAAAAUACUUCCAUUAAUCAAGAACGAAAGUUAAGGGAGUGAAGACGAUCAGAUACCGUCGUAAUCUUAACCAUAAACUAUGCCGACUAGGCUUUGGAUGAAAGAUUUUAAAAUAAGAGUUUU
rnacentral:rRNA from 1 species